GAAAAAGUAUGCAAGAACUGCUAACUCAUGCCCUCCGCACCUAACARUGCGGCUUUUUCA
rnacentral:tRNA from 1 species